rnacentral:rRNA from 1 species
UACGUAGGGGGCUAGCGUUGUCCGGAAUCAUUGGGCGUAAAGAGCGUGUAGGCGGUCCGGUAAGUCCGCUGUGAAAGUCGGGGGCUCAACCCUCGAAUGCCGGUGGAUACUGUCGGGCUAGAGUGCGGAAGAGGCGAGUGGAAUUCCUGGUGUAGCGGUGAAAUGCGCAGAUAUCAGGAGGAACACUGGUGGCGAAGGCGGGUCUCUGGGCCGAUACUGACGCUGAGGAGCGAAAGCGUGGGGAGCAAACAGG